rnacentral:rRNA from 1 species
CUGUCGAUUUGGGGAUUGGGCUUAGAGCUUGGUGCCCGUAGCUAACGUGAUAAAUCGACCGCCUGGGGAGUACGGCCGCAAGGUUAAAACUCAAAUGAAUUGACGGGGGCCCGCACAAGCGGUGGAGCAUGUGGUUUAAUUCGAUGCAACGCGAAGAACCUUACCUACUCUUGACAUCCUAAGAAGAGCUCAGAGAUGAGCUUGUGCCUUCGGGAACUUAGAGACAGGUGCUGCAUGGCUGUCGUCAGCUCGUGUUGUGAAAUGUUGGGUUAAGUCCCGCAACGAGCGCAACCCUUAUCCUUUGUUGCCAGCGACUUGGUCGGGAACUCAAAGGAGACUGCCAGUGAUAAACUGGAGG